UAGAUACCCCCUAGGCUGAUGUUAGCACUUUUGGUAUUAGUGCCUAGGAUUUAUCUAGUUCUCAUAUGUAUUUUGUGUUGAUUAUGUACUUUGCACUUUGAUUAAAGAACAUUGUAUUUUUAUGUUAAUGUACUACAAUGUUCCAUGUUUGAUCAGUAAAAUCUGAAUGUUUAUUAUUUACUGUGUCUACUUAUCUAUUGCCAUGCACCUAUUUGAUGAUAACAAAAAGGGGGAGAAGCAAGGAAAGAAAAUUAAGUUGUAAUAAGUUGACAAACAAGGACAAUAUACACUUAAGGGGGAGCGAUAUGUAUUAAAGUCUAAACUUUUAAUCAAAUUUCAGGAUUUGGCACAUACCUCUCACACCUCGAUACAUAAUCUAAAACUCUUGCUUUAUCUCAAAUUUUUGACGUUUCAUCUUUAACCAAAUAUAAAAAAAAGGAGGAGUAAAUCAAAAGUUCAAUUUGACAAUAUUUGGAUGAAAUAGGGGAGACUUCACUCUCAAAUUUGAAAAGCUGAAAUUCAGCAACUUGAGCCCUUCUAAAACUAAUUUUAAGAUAAGAAUCAACUUGCUGAUACUCAAUAUUUUGUAAUCAUCAAAAAGGGGAAGAUUGAGGAUGAUAGUAUUAUUUUGAUGAUUAACACAACCAUUGAGGGUAUACCUAAUUAAAUAUUACAAGAUAAUAUGAUACAUCAUUAUUAAGUUCGUCACUCUCGGUACAUUAGUAGAAUGAGAUCAAGAUGUAUUUUAAUGAUUAAAAAUGAGAUAAAAUUUGCGAUAGAAAAGGGAUAGUGAAUUCAAAAUUCCAAUUCGGCAAA
rnacentral:lncRNA from 1 species